UACAGAGGGUGCGAGCGUUAAUCGGAAUUACUGGGCGUAAAGCGCGCGUAGGCGGCUUUUCAAGUCGAUUGUGAAAUCCCCGGGCUUGACCUGGGAACUGCAGUCGAGACUGUCUAGCUAGAGUAUGGGGAGAGGGAAGUGGAAUUUCAGGUGUAGCGGUGAAAUGCGUAGAGUAUCUGAAGGAACAUCAGUGGCGAAAGCGACUUCCUGGACCAAUACUGACGCUCAUGUGCGAAAGCGUGGGGAGCAAACAGG
rnacentral:rRNA from 1 species